UACGAAGGGGGCUAGCGUUGUUCGGAAUUACUGGGCGUAAAGCGCACGUAGGCGGGUCGUUAAGUCAGGGGUGAAAUCCCAGAGCUCAACUCUGGAACUGCCUUUGAUACUGGCGACCUAGAGUCCGGAAGAGGUUAGUGGAAUUCCCAGUGUAGAGGUGAAAUUCGUAGAUAUUGGGAAGAACACCAGUGGCGAAGGCGGCUAACUGGUCCGGUACUGACGCUGAGGUGGCGAAAGCGUGGGAGCAAAGCAGG
rnacentral:rRNA from 1 species